rnacentral:misc_RNA from 1 species
AAUUGUUUCGUUAAUAUAUUCUGAGUAUUCUUAAAUUCUUUCAUUCCCUUUCUCUUCUUUUGUAUUAUGGAGGCUAAAGCUGGUUUAGACUUUGGUACCACCUUCAGCACUAUCUCCGCGUACGUCGGGGGUACGAUGAAGGUCCUUAGAAUAAACGGGUCGGAGUUUAUUCCCACCUGUUUAUCUGUCACGGCUACAGGCGACGUGGUUGUUGGUGGGGCUGCCCAGGUUUUGGAUUCUUCGCAAUUACCCCAUUGCUAUUUCUAUGACUUAAAACGUUGGGUUGGCGUUGAUAGGUUGUCCUUUGAAGAAAUAAAACGUAAGAUAUCCCCACAGUAUACGGUCAGAUUGGAAGGUAAUGAUGUGCUAAUAACAGGAAUCUCGAAGGGGUUCUCUUGUACAUAUACUGUGAAACAGCUCAUUCUUCUCUAUGUUGACACCUUGGUCAGACUAUUCUCAAAUGUUGAAAAGCUGAAGAUUCUGAGUUUAAAUGUGUCAGUUCCCGCAGAUUACAAAACCAAGCAACGGAUGUUUAUGAAAUCAGUUUGUGAGUCGCUCGGUUUUCCAUUGAGAAGGAUUAUAAACGAACCUUCUGCCGCAGCUAUUUACUCGAUAUCAAAGCAUCCUGGCUUCGACUAUUUCUUAGUCUAUGAUUUUGGAGGAGGUACCUUUGAUACUUCUUUGAUAGCGAAGGACGGGAAAUUUGUCACUGUGGCAGAUACCCUGGGAGAUUCGUUUCUGGGUGGUAGAGAUAUAGAUCGUGCGAUUUUGUCACAUAUUAUGCGUACGAACAGUCUUCAGAAGCCGCUGUCAGCAGAUUCACUUGCGGCAAUUAAAGAGGAAGUUAACUCCACUGGUAGGAGUAAUUUCAAUGUUUUGGACGUCGACGGUAACAUCAUCUUUGUGAACUUUUCGGGUGAGGAAUUGGAUAAGAUAGUUUCGAAGUUUACUGCUAAGAGUUUGAAGAUACUUAAAGCAAUAGCAGAUAGGAAUAAAAUCACUUCUGGGGCUCUUUUCUUGGUAGGAGGAUCUUCGUUACUUAGAAAAGUCCAAUUAGAUGUUAGUAAUUUUGCUAAAUCUAUUGGACUUACGCCAAUUAUCGAUAAAGACUUGAGGUCUGCAGUGUCCUACGGCUGUUCCAUGAUGCAUGCCCAAGAAGACAGCGGUUCUAUGGUUUACAUAGAUUGUAACUCACAUCCUUUGAUGGAUGUGUCCUUGUUUGCUAAUCCAAGAGUCAUAAUUCGGAAGCCAAUGUCUGUUCCUUUCUCAUAUAAAACUACCAGAAAAGUUGAUCGACACAUGAUGACUGCUGUAAAUGUGUAUGAAGGAUCCAGUCUUUUCGUGUUAGAUAAUGACUGGCUUGUUAGUGCUAAUGUGAACACACAAGAUUUUGUAGAUUUAGGGCAAGAACUAUCGUAUGUGUAUAAAUAUAAUGUUGAUGGUAUUCUUGACCUUUUUGUUCGAAAUGAAUCAACUGGAGUCGAGAGUCUGUUGCCUAACUCAUUUGCCUUGACUGAAAAGGUAAAGAAGUUAGAUUUGAACCUGACACAACUGUCAAGUGUUGACGAAUUGGCAACGGUUGUCUCCAUUCUCAGUCAUUUUGAUUCGAGUUUUAGUAGUCUCUUAAAGUUGGUCAAUACUCCAUCCAUUUUUGAAACGUCAGCUGCAAAAUUCGGUGACUUAAGAUCAUUGUAUGAACGUUUAAUCUUCGUUAAUAAGAACUUUUCUUGAGCUUUCUUCGUUUCUCUAAUAAUGUCACAGUCUAUAAUCGAUAGUGAUUUUGUGACUGAAACAUUCAGAUAUGCUUUUAAGAAGACUGAUGUUAGAGAUAAAUUGGAAAGACUUAAUGAAGUCAUGAAAGAUAAUUUAGACCAGAUCAAUAGGAAUAAGUAUUCUUUCAAUUUUCAAGGACAGACCUACAAUCUUUCAUCGAAUUAUCAGGUUAGGAACGGGGUUGUUCAUGUGAAUACUGAGGCUCCUUUAGAGGUUUUGAAGCUUUUGUCUGUAUAUAUGUAUUAUGUAGAACCAAAGUACAUUGAUAUGUCACCUUACAGUCCUGAAUCUUUAUUCGGUAAUCCGAAUUAUAUGAAGGCUGUUAAGAUGUGGAAGCCUUACUAUGACAAGUCGAUGAACGAGUAUUUGAAUGAUAGAAGUGAGGUUGGGUGUUUAUACACCAUGGAUGACAUAGACAAGAACUAUCCUACACUGAGUCAAACGAGGAAAAUUACUCUAUAUAGAGUUUGCAAUUCCUUAGGAAAACUCGUGGACCUAAAAGAGCUUAGUGCCGGUGUACUUAAAGCUUUUGAGGUCAAAACUUCUGACGUUGGUCAAGCAGUCAUGACGACAACUACCGAUAAUGCACUCUUUGGUGAGUGUGUCAAGGUGUUCAAAGAUUUUAUAGUUCUCAAUUCUACAAAGGCUGGGAAAGAAAAGAUAGAGGUUAAUAGAAAGUUUUUGAACUCUUUCCUGCGAUGUCUGUCUCCAAAAGACGAACUCGGUAAUCUAGGCGAAAAUCCGUUGCUAAUCGCCUGGUUUAUGCGAGAAUUCACCAACCGUACAAAGAACAGUAAGGGUUAUAAGGACAAUUUUAAGGCUGUGGUAGAUUUGAGUCAACCAAUGCUUAAGUUUCUCAAGGACGUGUUCUUAAAAGAUCUGAGUCUAGAUGAAGACUCUCUAUUCAUAACUUUUCCUAAGAACUCUGUAGUGGAGAUAGUUGAUCAAGUGAUACCGCUAGCUAAAUUUCAUAGGAAUCAAGCACUCCCAAAACCAAUGAGUAAUUCUUGCGAUUUACCUAGGGACGUUGACGAAUUGGUUUCUAAAACCAUCGCAGAAUAUUUGGGUAAAUUCGUCAAGACUGAUGAAGAUUUGUUGCUAGAUGCCUUUCUUUUCGUAUUAGGCAGAUGUACGACGAAUCAGAAGCGUUGGACUUCCGGUUUUGAAAUAGAUUUUAAAAUUUUGGGUGAGAGAAUUAAGUUUGAUUCCAAAGAUUUAUGGUAUCAUCUAGUCAAUGUUGUUCGUACAAACCAUCCGCGGUUUAGAACGAAUAAUUUGAUUAGACAGUGGGCCAACAAUAGAGGUGAUAGAGCCAGGGCAAUGUUUAAAAUUUGUGAGUACCACCCUGGACUGUUUGGUAGUAUCCCCAGAAUAGACAAUCACAUGCGGUUCGAUUUCUUUAAAUUGUUGAAUUUGCGAUUGAUGUCUGAGUCGGAAAAAGUGUCUUAUUACACACUCCGUCUUAUGACUGAGAGUAAAUCGAAUAACAGUGAUAAAGAUUUUUGUAAGUUGGUUUCAUGGAUUUCAGCGAAUUGAUUGAGAAGUAUGGAGUUGAGAGGAUUUCUUCUUUGACGUCUAGAUUGUUAGAAAUAAAAAGAACUGGAGUCGGUCUCGUGAAUUUGUUGCUAAAUCUGAUUAAUGAGAAUUUUGUCUACUUCGACUCAAAUAGGUCUAAGUGUGGGUUUGAAAAAGAGGAUCACGUUCUUAUUUUGCAAAUAAUUCCUUUAUUGCGUAUUUGAGGUUUGUUCUUUAUAUUAUCAUAACUUAACAGAUGGAUACUGGCAAAGUAAACGAUGACAAGAACUUUGACUCUGACUCCGAUGUAGGUUUCGGGGACAGGAAUGAGAACGAUAAUCUACGAAGACGUUCCGAUACGAUUGACAACGAAAACGUCAACAAUGUGGGAAGAAGAGACAUGGAGUUAACCAGUGGUAUAUUAACAUCUGAGCAACUGGCUCUUGCGAGGUUGGGAAAAAUACAGGUUUAUUCUAACUCACCAGACAUUAUGUCUAAGAGUCAAGAAGAUGAAUUCAAGAGACAUAUGGAGAGUUUUGUGAGGCAAAUUUCAGGGGAAACUACAUUAUCUCCUGAGAUUUUUGCAGGUUUCUACGCAUCUCUAUUCCAAGCUUGGGCAAACCAAAGUACUUCGGAAAAGAACGCGUCGAAUGCAAAUCUCGAGAAUGUGUUCAUGGUUAAUGGUAAGGAGUACAGUUGGAGAACUCAUAGUUUCAUCAAUCACAUGCAAUCCAAUAUGCCCGACGUGAAGAAUGCUGCUAGGAAAUGGGCCAGGGCUCACGCGAAUGAUUAUAAGGUUCUUGUUGGUUUGGGUAUAGUAAAACCUGACUAUCAUUUGCAAGCUAAACAAGGUGUAUUACCGGAGUAUUGGCAUCUUGCGACCGACUUCAUGAGAGGUAAUGACAUGGCGACGACUGCAGAUGGAUUAGCAGCAACACUGAUGAUGAUGAAAAGGAACGCUCUUUGUAACAAGGACAACAAGAAUUCUAUUUAUAACGUAACUCAAUUGACCGGUACUGGUCUUCACUGUUGAGUAUGGAUAUAUUAGAACUAGAAGUAGAUAACAUUAUAUCGACAAAUUAUCCCGAUGAUGAAUCCGAAAUAGUGACUAGAGCUGUGGGAUGUAAGUUCAAUCAAGAUUAUUCUCUACCUUACAAAGAUAGAGAACAAGUCGACUUCUCUAUACCUUACACUUCCGCGUUAAGAAGUAAACCUGUCACUUUAGAACUAUAUUUUCAUAUAGGAUCCGGGUAUGUUGUGUAUACUUGUAAACCCGCCGAUAACUUCAACCAAAAGAUAUAUGAGUCGAAUUUGGGAUCAUUCUUCUCAUCUUUUAGGAAUCUCGUCACUCCCAGAAGACCGCGUGGUAUGAACGCAUUUAGAUUUGGAUAUUUGCGAGAGGGAAACGACUGCUUUAUAAUAGUUGAAGGUUGGAGAGUCGUGCAGAUAUCAAAUGCCAACACUAUAUUCGGCGUUUCAUUGAGGUUAUCGUUAGACAUUGGCGACGUAAUCUUCAGCAAGUCCGACAAACUAAGUGCUAAUCAAAUUGCUCUAGAUUCGUGUUUGGAAUGCACUAGACCAGAUGGUUUGUUGAAAGGGGCCAAACCGAAAAGUGUUAAUAUUUUCUCUGAGACAACCCAAGAAAGUGUGAAAAUAACACCAAUUGGAGACAUUCCAUUAAGUGUUUUCAAUUCAGUAACCAAUCUCAAUCUAAAAAUACUGAGAAGUGGUGACGAUUCUACAUCGAUUAAAGAUGAGACUCAGAUCGACAAAGACCGUACUACAAUGAGUAAUGAAGAAGAUAAAAAGAAGAUCUUCCGCAUUUAUUACUCAAAUUUCUUAGACAGUGGUUUUAAGAAUUCUUUAAACUACACUAUACUUUGGCCGCAGAUAUCAUGUAACGGUGUAGAUGUAAAUCACCAAUUUUGGAUCGGUGACAGAGAAGAUAUGUUUGAAGGAGGUGUACAUUACAUACACACCACAUCGAUCAAUACGUUAUUCUUCGUACAUCGUAAGGGAGAUGUUUCAGAAUAUUUUAAAAUAAACGAAGAUCAAUCUGCCAGGAUACUGAAGACUAUACCAACUGAACUCACCUUCAGUAUAGUCAAAAAUCCUGGAAGUAAGUAUGUGGUGUAUGUCAAUGGAGAAAAAUUUUUAAGUACAUUUCUGCCUAAUGUUGGUACCAAAGUCCAAAUAGGUUGGGAAAUAAAGUUGUACAAAGAUAAGGUUAAAAAUUUUGAGAAGUCCAAUUUGAAAACUUUCGAAAUUGUUCCUAGAGAAACGCAAGUUAAGUCGGAUAAUGAGCUUGUGACACUAAGAAAAUAUGAGUUUGGAACAACAGAUUUCAAUGCUAGUGGAUGGGUACUUGAAAAGAAGUUGGGGCUGAGAUUGAAAACAAUUAAGCAUGUCAACGAACUUUUCACCGAUGACAAACCUCCUGAGAAAGAAGAACAAGUCGAUAAGACGGAUAAGCAAGACAAGAAAACACCCGAAGAAAAGAUCGACGACACCGUAGUUGUUGACAAGACAGAGGAUGCGAAAGAAAACUUGGAAGAGUUCGCACUCAAAGCCGUUGUUUAUCAACCACUAUCAAGGUUAGAAGAUGAGAAAAUCUUCAACAACAUGAUUAAAUAUUAUGAAAGUAAGGGAUUAACUCAAAGACAAGCUGAAUUACUCAUCUAUCAAAUGGGAGUUUCCUUUUGUACGAGUGUUAACAGUUGUGCAAAUACCAAUCUACAUUUAAUUGUAUCUAAACCGGAUGGAAGUUUGCUCAAGGUGUCUAAGUCCGACCACGUAAUGAGGAUGCAAAUGUUGUGUAAGAAGUACUGCAACGUUGAAAGAACGUUACUUAGAAAUAGAAGUGAUAAAAUAUUCAGACUUCUGAAGGCUAAGGUACUGGUUUUACCACUGAAACAUGCUAGGGUCAGAGGUAUAAAACCGGAAAUGGCACAUAUGGCAUGUGAUUUCAUGGACUACACCACCAUCCCAUUGAGUGAUGAGGAAGUUCUUGCAUUAAAUUCAAUGCAAAGAUUUGUAUUGAUGAGAAAUAAGCACCGCAGGUCCAUAGUGAAUGUGAAUCAACUGUUUUGAAAAUAUGUCGGGCUGGGAUGACAUACCUAUACAACAAAAUUAUGUUUCUUCCAGCGUUCGUAAUGAUGAUGACAUUGCGAAGAUAUGUGCCAGAACGUUUAACCGAGCAGUUAAUUUAUUAACUGAUUAUUCUCAACAUACUAUUCCUGAACUUCGAGAAAGUAGAUUCGAGUUGGGAUGUAUCCGAAGUCUGUGUGAAAACGAUGACCUCAAUAUCAACCUUGGAGCAGAUAAUAACAAUCUUUUCCAAGGAUUGAACAAAUUGGGCGUUAGGGCCGACUCACUUAGAGUUAACAGUGAGAGGUUCUUCCCCUCAAUAUCCAGUAAGGUGAUGACCAACGUGAUAGAUUCUAUUUCCUCUGUGAUGGAGUUUGUUAUAGAUCUUAAUCAUUCUGGGUUUUCAACCUUAUGGGUUGGUGAGAUCAUGACCAUAUAUGAUGUCAACAGUUUUGACAAACUGGUGGAUGCCAUAUAUAGGUUUUUGUUAUACACCUACAACUUCCCUGAGGAAGUGCAAUUUCAUAUGACCUUGAAUUUGUUUAAUGACGAUAUUUUAAAAAUAAUAUCAAAAGCAAAGAAAAAGAUUAGACCUCUUAGUGAUAGUGAGAGGGUUUUAAUGGCUAAAAGUAUUACUAAAGGGAUUCAUUUCGAAUUCCACUUUACUUAUAGGUCUUUAGGUUUAUAUCUUCCUAAAGUAACUAAUAGUCUAACGGUUUGUAAUAAAAAUCGAUAAAGAUAUUAGGGUAGAUUUGAUUAAUGUUUAUACCCUAGAGUCAUACACCUGAGAGAUUCGGAGUGUGUAUUGUAAAAACUCAAAAAAUAUAUGUUUCGUAUACGUAUUUCUAUUUAGAGUGUGUGUAUGAACGGUUUUCCUAAAUCGUCGUGAGACGGACCUUGGAAAACCUAGUAUUUAAAUAACUAGGUC